CGGGACACGUGGUAUCCUGUCUGAAUAUGGGGGGACCAUCCUCCAAGGCUAAAUACUCCUGACUGACCGAUAGUGAACCAGUACCGUGAGGGAAAGGCGAAAAGAACCCCGGCGAGGGGAGUGAAAAAGAACCUGAAACCGUGUACGUACAAGCAGUGGGAGCACGCUUAGGCGUGUGACUGCGUACCUUUUGUAUAAUGGGUCAGCGACUUAUAUUCUGUAGCAAGGUUAACCGAAUAGGGGAGCCGAAGGGAAACCGAGUCUUAACUGGGCGUUAAGUUGCAGGGUAUAGACCCGAAACCCGGUGAUCUAGCCAUGGGCAGGUUGAAGGUUGGGUAACACUAACUGGAGGACCGAACCGACUAAUGUUGAAAAAUUAGCGGAUGACUUGUGGCUGGGGGUGAAAGGCCAAUCAAACCGGGAGAUAGCUGGUUCUCCCCGAAAGCUAUUUAGGUAGCGCCUCGUGAAUUCAUCUCCGGGGGUAGAGCACUGUUUCGGCAAGGGGGUCAUCCCGACUUACCAACCCGAUGCAAACUGCGAAUACCGGAGAAUGUUAUCACGGGAGACACACGGCGGGUGCUAACGUCCGUCGUGAAGAGGGAAACAACCCAGACCGCCAGCUAAGGUCCCAAAGUCAUGGUUAAGUGGGAAACGAUGUGGGAAGGCCCAGACAGCCAGGAUGUUGGCUUAGAAGCAGCCAUCAUUUAAAGAAAGCGUAAUAGCUCACUGGUCGAGUCGGCCUGCGCGGAAGAUGUAACGGGGCUAAACCAUGCACCGAAGCUGCGGCAGCGACGCUUAUGCGUUGUUGGGUAGGGGAGCGUUCUGUAAGCCUGCGAAGGUGUGCUGUGAGGCAUGCUGGAGGUAUCAGAAGUGCGAAUGCUGACAUAAGUAACGAUAAAGCGGGUGAAAAGCCCGCUCGCCGGAAGACCAAGGGUUCCUGUCCAACGUUAAUCGGGGCAGGGUGAGUCGACCCCUAAGGCGAGGCCGAAAGGCGUAGUCGAUGGGAAACAGGUUAAUAUUCCUGUACUUGGUGUUACUGCGAAGGGGGGACGGAGAAGGCUAUGUUGGCCGGGCGACGGUUGUCCCGGUUUAAGCGUGUAGGCUGGUUUUCCAGGCAAAUCCGGAAAAUCAAGGCUGAGGCGUGAUGACGAGGCACUACGGUGCUGAAGCAACAAAUGCCCUGCUUCCAGGAAAAGCCUCUAAGCAUCAGGUAACAUCAAAUCGUACCCCAAACCGACACAGGUGGUCAGGUAGAGAAUACCAAGGCGCUUGAGAGAACUCGGGUGAAGGAACUAGGCAAAAUGGUGCCGUAACUUCGGGAG
rnacentral:rRNA from 1 species